GAUGAACGCUAGCGGGAGGCUUAACACAUGCAAGUCGAGGGGCAGCAUAGGGUAGCAAUACUCUGAUGGCGACCGGCAAACGGGUGAGUAACGCGUAUGCAACCUACCCUGUACAGGGGGAUAACCCGGAGAAAUUCGGACUAAUAUCCCGUAAUAAUAUCCGGAGGCAUCUUUGGAUAUUUAAAGUUCCGACGGUACGGGAUGGGCAUGCGUAACAUUAACUGGUUGGUAAGGUAACGGCUUACCAAGGCUAUGAUGUUUAGGGGUCCUGAGAGGGUGGUCCCCCACACUGGUACUGAGACACGGACCAGACUCCUACGGGAGGCAGCAGUGAGGAAUAUUGGUCAAUGGGCGCAAGCCUGAACCAGCCAUCCCGCGUGCAGGAAGACGGCCCAUGGGUUGUAAACUGCUUUUCCAGGGAGAGAAACUUACGCACGUGUUGCGUGACUGACGGUACCCUGGGAAUAAGCAUCGGCUAACUCCGUG
rnacentral:rRNA from 1 species